rnacentral:rRNA from 1 species
GCGGCCUAUCAGCUUGUUGGUGGGGUAAUGGCCUACCAAGGCAACGACGGGUAGCUGGUCUGAGAGGAUGAUCAGCCACACUGGGACUGAGACGCGGCCCAGACUCCUACGGGAGGCAGCAGUGGGGAAUCUUGCGCAAUGGGCGAAAGCCUGACGCAGCAACGCCGCGUGCGGGAUGAAGGCCUUCGGGUUGUAAACCGCUUUCAGCAGGAACGAAAAUGACGGUACCUGCAGAAGAAGGAGCGGCCAACUACGUGCCAGCAGCCGCGGUGACACGUAGGCUCCAAGCGUUGUCCGGAUUUAUUGGGCGUAAAGAGCUCGUAGGCGGUUUAGUAAGUCGGGUGUUAAAACUCUGGGCUCAACCCGGAGACGCCAUCCGAUACUACUAUGACUUGAGUUCAGGAGGGGAGACUGGAAUUCCU